rnacentral:rRNA from 1 species
GACGAACGCUGGCGGCGUGCCUAAUACAUGCAAGUAGAACGCUGAAGAGAGGAGCUUGCUCUUCUUGGAUGAGUUGCGAACGGGUGAGUAACGCGUAGGUAACCUGCCUUGUAGCGGGGGAUAACUAUUGGAAACGAUAGCUAAUACCGCAUAACAAUGGAUGACACAUGUCAUUUAUUUGAAAGGGGCAAUUGCUCCACUACAAGAUGGACCUGCGUUGUAUUAGCUAGUAGGUGAGGUAACGGCUCACCUAGGCGACGAUACAUAGCCGACCUGAGAGGGUGAUCGGCCACACUGGGACUGAGACACGGCCCAGACUCCUACGGGAGGCAGCAGUAGGGAAUCUUCGGCAAUGGGGGCAACCCUGACCGAGCAACGCCGCGUGAGUGAAGAAGGUUUUCGGAUCGUAAAGCUCUGUUGUAAGUCAAGAACGAGUGUGAGAGUGGAAAGUUCACACUGUGACGGUAGCUUACCAGAAAGGGACGGCUAACUACGUGCCAGCAGCCGCGGUAAUACAUAGGUCCCGAGCGUUGUCCGGAUUUAUUGGGCGUAAAGCGAGCGCAGGCGGUUUGAUAAGUCUGAAGUUAAAGGCUGUGGCUCAACCAUAGUUCGCUUUGGAAACUGUCAAACUUGAGUGCAGAAGGGGAGAGUGGAAUUCCAUGUGUAGCGGUGAAAUGCGUAGAUAUAUGGAGGAACACCGGUGGCGAAAGCGGCUCUCUGGUCUGUAACUGACGCUGAGGCUCGAAAGCGUGGGGAGCGAACAGGAUUAGAUACCCUGGUAGUCCACGCCGUAAACGAUGAGUGCUAGGUGUUGGAUCCUUUCCGGGAUUCAGUGCCGCAGCUAACGCAUUAAGCACUCCGCCUGGGGAGUACGACCGCAAGGUUGAAACUCAAAGGAAUUGACGGGGGCCCGCACAAGCGGUGGAGCAUGUGGUUUAAUUCGAAGCAACGCGAAGAACCUUACCAGGUCUUGACAUCCCGAUGCUAUUUCUAGAGAUAGAAAGUUACUUCGGUACAUCGGUGACAGGUGGUGCAUGGUUGUCGUCAGCUCGUGUCGUGAGAUGUUGGGUUAAGUCCCGCAACGAGCGCAACCCCUAUUGUUAGUUGCCAUCACUCAGUUGGGCACUCUAGCGAGACUGCCGGUAAUAAACCGGAGGAAGGUGGGGAUGACGUCAAAUCAUCAUGCCCCUUAUGACCUGGGCUACACACGUGCUACAAUGGUUGGUACAACGAGUUGCGAGUCGGUGACGGCAAGCUAAUCUCUUAAAGCCAAUCUCAGUUCGGAUUGUAGGCUGCAACUCGCCUACAUGAAGUCGGAAUCGCUAGUAAUCGCGGAUCAGCACGCCGCGGUGAAUACGUUCCCGGGCCUUGUACACACCGCCCGUC